rnacentral:tRNA from 1 species
GGGGGAUUAGCUCAGUUGGCUAGAGCGUUUGACUGGCAGUCAAAAGGUCAGGAGUUCGACUCUCCUAUUCUCCA